AUGGUAGCCCCGACUGUUCUUUCCGAGUGCCACAACCUACAGGAAAGAGAAUCAAUAACAGUUUACAAUCCAUGUAAGAAGAGCGCAGGGGCCUUAUAUCGUCCCUCAGCGGCUGACAGUCUUUGAUGUGUCUUGCUACUGUACGCUGGCCAACGGGAAUACACAUGGACAAAACCCUACAUGUCUCUGACUUCCUACGCAUGAACAAAGGGCGUCACAGCUGGGCCGGGUGCACCGACGACUGACCUGAUCUGACUGUGUGACCUUCACCUCAGACCCCUUUCAUUUGUGGCCAUUAGUGAAGCGUACAAACAAUGAUCACUUCAAGGUCGUAAUUUUGCUAUUUAUGAUCCUGGGUGAUGUGUCCUCAUGAUUAAUUUUGAACCCCAAGAAGAGACAACCUCCUAUAGAUCUGGAACAACAUAAGGGUUUUUGGAGCCAGUGAGGUUAUCAGUCCUGUCCCACAAACAAAUACUGCUGCAGGCUCCUCACACCUGAGCGAGAGCUGGCGGAAGAACAGAGAUCACGACUGAACUUCACAGCCUGCGGGCCAGCAGGACCACUCUACAACCUUGAUGUGGACACAGCCAGGGUCUAAUUACACGAUUCCAUUCAAAGGGUCCAGACCGAGACCUGAC